rnacentral:misc_RNA from 1 species
GAUGAAGAACGUAGCGAAAUGCGAUACUUGGUGUGAAUUGCAGAAUCCCGUGAACCAUCGAGUCUUUGAACGCAAGUUGCGCCCGAAGCCAUCAGGUUGAGGGCACGUCUGCCUGGGCGUCACAUAUCGUUGCCCAAUGCCUAUUGCAGUGCAAUAGGAAUUUCUAGGGCGAAUGAUGGCUUCCCGUGAGCGUUGUUGCCUCGCGGUUGGUUGAAAAUCGAGUCCUUGGUAGGGUGUGCCAUGGUAGAUGGUGGUCGAGUUAGAACGAUACCGAUCAUGUGCAUGCUCCCCAAAAUAUGGCCUCUAUGACCCACCAGCGUCUUUUGACGCUCAUGACGAGACCUCAGGUCAGGCGGGGCUACCCGCUGAAUUUAAGCAUAUCAAUAAGCGGAGGA